ACGGCCACACCUAGGCGAAAACACCAGUUCCCGUCCGAUCACUGCAGUUAAGCGUCUGAGGGUCUCGUUAGUACUAUGGUUGGAGACAACAUGGGAAUCCGGGAUGCCGUAGGCU
rnacentral:rRNA from 1 species